rnacentral:rRNA from 1 species
UUCUGGUUGAUCCUGCCAGACCCUACUGCUAUCGGGAUGGGACUAAGACAUGCUAGUCGUGCGCUUCUAAGCCAUGGUGGAGGCGCGGCGCACAGCUCAGUAACACGUGGUUAACCUGCCCUUGGGACGGAAACACCCCCGGGAAACUGGGGCUAAUUUCCGAUAGGUGAAGACUCCUGGAAUGGAUCUUCGCCUAAAGGGCGCUUAGGCCAUGCUUCUGGGCGCUGCCCAGGGAUGGGACCGCGGCCGAUCAGGUUGUUGGUGAGGUAAUGGCUCACCAAGCCUUUAACCGGUUCGGGCCGUGAGAGCGGGAGCCCGGAGAUGGGCACUGAGACAAGGGCCCAGGUCUUACGGGGCGCAGCAGUCGCGAAAACUCCGCAAUACGCGAAAGGCGUGACGGGGCUAUCCCGAGUGCCGUCCGCUGAGGAUGGCUUUUUCCCCAGUGUAGAUAGCUGGGGGAAUAAGGAGAGGGCAAGUCUGGUGUCAGCCGCCGCGGUAAUACCAGCUCUCCGAGUGGUGGGGACGUUUAUUGGGCCUGAAGCAUCCGUAGCCAGCUGAGCAAGUCCCCAGUUAAGUCCAGCGAUUUAAUCGUUGGACUGCUGGGGAUACUGUCCGGCUUGGGGGUGGGAGAGGCCGACAGUAUUCCCGGGGUAGGGGUGAAACCCUAUAAUCCCGGGAGGACCACCAGUGGCGAAGGCUGUUGGCUAAAACAUGCCCGACGGUGAGGGAUGAAAGCUGGGGGAGCGAACCGGAUUAGAUACCCGGGUAGUCCCAGCUGUAAACGAUGCAGGCUAGGUGUUAGGGCGGCCACGUGCCGCCCUAGUGCCGCAGGGAAGCUGUUAAGCCUGCCGCCUGGGGAGUACGGCCGCAAGGCUGAAACUUAAAGGAAUUGGCGGGGGAGCAC